GAAAGCAAAUAAACAAAAAAGAAAAGAAAAAAAAUAAUAAUCUCAAAUUACUCACUUUCCCAUUUC
rnacentral:ribozyme from 17 species